rnacentral:rRNA from 1 species
UACGGAGGGGGCCAGCGUUGUUCGGAAUCAUUGGGCGUAAAGGGCGCCUAGGUGGCCAAGCAAGUCGGACGUGAAAGCCCCCGGCUCAACCGGGGAGGGUCGUCGGGGACCGCACCGCUUGAGGGCGGUAGGGGCUGGUGGAAUGCCUGGUGUAGUGGUGAAAUGCGUAGAGAUCAGGCGGAACACCCGUGGCGAAGGCGGCCAGCUGGGCCGUCCCUGACGCUGAGGCGCGAAGGCGUGGGGAGCGAACGGG